AUGAUUGCUGUGAACCACUUCUCAAGCUUGCACACAUCCAAUCUUCAUUGGCUCAACUCGGCCAACAUUGCUCUCAUACCAAAGAAAGAUGGAGCGGAAUGCAUCUCGGACUUUCGCCCCAUUAGCCUCAUUCACGCCAUUGCGAAGAUCCUAACAAAGGUGUUGGCUACGCGCCUAGCUCCCCAUAUGGACAACCUUGUCUCCAGUGCGCAAAGCGCCUUCAUAAAGAAGAGAAGCAUUCAUGAUAAUUUCAUGUAUGUCAGAAACUUGGCGAGGAAACUUCACAGAAAUCGUACACCCACCCUGCUGUUCAAGCUUGACAUCAAGAAGGCUUUUGACUCAGUUAGAUAG
rnacentral:rRNA from 1 species